rnacentral:rRNA from 1 species
GGUCUGCUUAACACAUGCAAGUCGAACGGAGGUAGAAAUACCUCAGUGGCGGACGGGUGAGUAACACGUGAGAAUCUAGCUUCAGGUCGGGGAUAACAGAGGGAAACCGCUGCUAAUACCGAAUGUGCCGAGAGGUGAAAGACAAGUUGCCUGAGGAUGAGCUCGCGGCGGAUUAGCUAGUUGGUGGGGUAAAAGCCUACCAAGGCGACGAUCCGUAGCUGGUCUGAGAGGACGAGCAGCCACACUGGGACUGAGACAAGGCCCAGACUCCUACGGGAGGCAGCAGUGGGGAAUUUUCCGCAAUGGGCGAAAGCCUGACGGAGCAAGACCGCGUGAGGGAGGAAGGCUCUUGGGUUGUAAACCUCUUUUCUUUGGGAAGAAGAAAGUGACGGUACCAAAGGAAUCAGCAUCGGCUAACUCCGUGCCAGCAGCCGCGGUAAUACGGAGGAUGCAAGCGUUAUCCGGAAUCAUUGGGCGUAAAGCGUCCGCAGGUGGUGGGGCAAGUCGGCUGUCAAAGGUCACAGCUUAACUGUGAACAGGCGGUGGAAACUGCCAAACUAGAGUGCGGUAGGGGUAGAGGGAAUUCCCGGUGUAGCGGUGAAAUGCGUAGAGAUCGGGGAAGAACACAGUAGCGAAAGCGCUCUG